GACGAACCGUGCGAACAUUAUUCGGAAUCACUGGGCUUAAAGCGCGUGUAGGUGGGUUGCCACGUCGGAUGCUGAAAUCCCUCGGCUCAACCGAGGAACGGGCACCGAUACGAGCGACCUGGAGGGGGGUAGGGGGAGCUGGAACUUCCGGUGGAGCGGUGAAAUGCGUUGAGAUCGGAAGGAACGCCCGUGGCGAAAGCGAGCUCCUGGACCUUUUCUGACACUGAGACGCGAAAGCUAGGGGAGCGAACGGG
rnacentral:rRNA from 1 species